CUCUACCCCAGAGGUUCGGCCCAACGCUUGCCAGUUAAUUCCUCUAAACGGUUAUUGACCGUUAGCUACGUGCGGUACUCCAGGCCAGUAGUGAGGGAGAUAGAGAAGGUCCUGGUACUUAGGGGACCUAGACAGUAGCCCAAGAUUACAAAAGAGAGUUGUGAUGGAGAACGUGAGGUUGCUAAUCUCGCCUUGGGAGGGUCAAGGAAGGCCUCCCAGAAAGACACCGAGCAAGAAGGCUUCUACUGAGACCUAGGCUGCUCCAGAGCUUGGGAAUUCCUUGAGUUUCUCUCUGUACUGUAAUCUUUGAAAGGCUACCUAAAGUCAUCUGCAUUGACAUAUUCCUAAAGUGGAAACUCAGAGAAGAUACCAUCCUUCUUUGGAGCUUCUGGACAGCAUAGCUAAGGAAGGAGUGGCUGCUUGCUUCCACAUGUCUGGUCACAGGCUCUCUUCAGAAACAGGACCCGCUGGCUGAAAGGGAAAAGCUCCUCCUGCUGGAAAUCACAGUGUGAGAAGGUAGGGAAAAGCAAGCCCUUAACAGCUGCCCCCGGGGAGAAGGUUGAAAUGGACAGUCGGUGCAUAAGUGUUCUGCAAUAGAAGCCAGACAAAGGGGAUUUUCAGAAGAUGAGCUCUCUGGGACAGUGUUCAGUAGGAUUUAAAUCAAGCCAAAGUGAGUCAGUAUUAGAAUCUGGCCAUGGUGGGUAGAGACUGUACAUGAUGGUAGGGUGACAAGGCAAGUGAAUCAGUGGAAUUCAUGGAGUUCAUGGGAUGUUGUGAGAGAUGGGAGAUUGAGAUUCUGAUAAAAGGGUAGGAUCUUGCAAGAGGAGGGAUCUGGUUAGAGAAGAAGAUCUAAUGUCUGAGGUGUUCUAGGGGAAAGAAGAAAAGAUCAAUGAUGGAAUGAAAGAUGGCCCCUUACGAUUGUAGCUCUGGAGGCAGAAAGGGAUCUAUCUGCAGGGUUGAGAUUUAAUAUGGGGAUCUGGGAGGGCAGAGUGGAGGCAGAGAGGACCUUGGUGGAAAAGAUAAGAAAGCUGGUAAUGGGGCAGAAUAAGGAUAAAUGAAAUACUAGGAGAGCUCGAGGCAAGGAGGACUCCUGGACAGUGGGGAGAAGGCCAUAAUGGGAGUGGGAAAAAAGGUGAGUGAGAACGUGGGAGCUGAUGACAGAGCCUCUGGUGGCAGAGAGGAGGCCAGUGAAAGGAAUGAUGAAGGAAUGGGACCAAUUGUGAAGAGCAGGGCACAAUGAGAAGAAAACAGAUUAUGCAGGAGCAGAGUCAGAUACAGGGUCCUGGGAAGAAAGGCUGAUAAAUAUCCCAGAAGGGAAAUGACAUAGCCAGGGUGGGUGGUAAUUGAUCUUCUGAAAGUUCUGGUGAAAGAAUAGAGGCCAGAGUUUUAAGAAAGCUCAAGGAGAAGAGCUAUUGGAACAGAAGGGGACACACAGGGAGCAGAAUCUUUUCACAGGAUUCCCCUAAGCAAAAGGUCAGACACCACAGUGAUGCUCUCCCAACCCUCCCUACACACAGCUUGACCCAGAAAUUACCAAAACUGCAAAAGGCUAUGAGCUGCAGCCAGGAGCAGAGUCAGAACAAGAGGGUCUGGCAAGAAUAAGGGCACCUGAAGCAGGCUACCCACCUGCUUCCCACUCCCUCACAUCUGAGACUUCAUUAUACUCCUUUGUACCUCACCCCAAGGCUUGCUUUCUCAUUCCGUUCUCUAUUGGUUCCUCCUUCAGGAGCAACCCCAGGUUGCACUGGGGCCCUAAAAUUAUGUAGUGCAUGCUAGGAAGUGAGAAACAGGAGAGAAGGAAAGAGAUUAAUCACUUCCAGAAAAGGUCUCAUGCCACCACAGCUUCUUUCUGGCAAGUUCCAAAGGCCAGUAUAACAAGAGACUGGGUUACAUGCUGAAAAAGUAAAAAUUAGUUUGACCUGAAAAAAAUGAAAAUCUGCCAUGCCAUUCAUCAAGCUGGGUAAACAGACACAGAUCACACAUAAAGCCAGCUGUAAAAUUAGCAAAAAAAAUUCUAUUUCUCCCAAGGAAACACACCAGCUAUAAAGUGUCUAAAUGACACUCAGUAGCAGAACUAUUACUUGGUAACUGAGAAACCUUGUUUUCUAAAAUCAUAGUUCAUUGGAAACUUUGCUUUUGAAAUCAUUUCAGUAAGAAUAAAGCAUCCUUUCCUGAAGGAUCUAAUUCACACUGACACAGAACACCUGCCUUGAUUUUCAACCCAGAUUCAGAUAACGGUGUUUGGGAUAUAACCUUACAUAUCUAUCUUCAUUUGUAGUGCCUAAGGAAAGGAGACCUACUGUCCACUUUGCCGUUCAGAUGUGAUGUUGCUGAUUUACACAAAGCCCUGCUUUGCUUUAGCAUAUCAAAACACUAUUUCAUAUAAAUUUCACUUUAUGCCACUCUUCCCCAACUCAUAUAACUUUUUCCCUUUCUUGGUGACACACCCCAUGGUUCCUAUAAUGUGUGACCUCCAUUGCAAUGAGCCACUAACCCUGAUUUUGUCAGACUUUGCUCCAGGUGUCCUGAUUAGGAAAUUUGGAGAGUCUCUGAAUAUUUGCUCCGAUCCCUCCCUACAAAGGAUUGGCCUCCAUGACAGUAACAAUGUGCACAUCUGAAACUUCUCGAGUCUCAAGAUAUUCAAGUUACUAGAUCAGAUAUCAGAGGAAGACUGUGGUUGAGCUUCAGUGAGGACCUUACCAGGUACUGUUAACAACUAACACAAAAGUAAUUCCAAGUCAACAGACACAGGAUACAAAGUGCUUGAAAGUCUGUCCUAAAAUCUCAGAGGAAUCGGAGGAAUCAUCCCAAAGCAGAUAACUGCAGGAAGUGUCGCCUCCCAGAGACCCACCAGAUGAGAUCCCCAGAGCCGCAAAUUGCCUUUUGCUCUUUUUCUUUGAGCUUUCCUCUCUGCCAAGUUAAGGUUUAAAUUGUUGACACUGCUUAUCUAUGAGCUAUGGUACUUUGAAGGUCUUUAUCCUUGAUACUGUUUUCUUUAUUUUUCCUCCCAAUUGCUCACUUCUUGGUAUGAGUCCAAUGCCAGGCUACAGUUUGCUCAUGGUUUGGCGACAGUACGCAAUGACCCUGUCUGCUGGGUUUGUACUCACUUUCUUCGGGUGCCACCCAGCUUCCUUUGCUAUCAGUUUCUUGGAAUUAAUCCACUCAUUUCCUUCCUUGGUGGGUAAGACUCAACCAGGAGGUGGGCAGGGGAGGAAAAGUAGUGUAAGAGGCCAAACAACCAGAAUUUUGAAACCCCCUGUUACGUCAUAAAUAGAAAGCAAGGUUUCAGCCCUAAAUAAAACAAUGCUCCUGAAAACUUUUGUGAAAAUUUAGCUAUUCCAAACAAAUUUUCACAAAAGUCAGUAAUGGAAGAUGAAAGGAGUGAUAAGGGGGUACUUUGAGAAAACAGAAAACAGGGAAUUCCCUGACGGUUGAGUGGUCACUGCCAGGGGCCGGGAUUCAGUCUGUGGUUGGGGAACUAAGAGCCGCAAACCACACAGAGCAGCAAAAGAGGGAAAAAAAGCAAACAGAACACAAUGAGAGGAAAUGAGACAGUGACGAGUUCCGUGAGGGAAGAUGGGCCCCACAGGGUACUCAGUCAAAAGAGAAAAGAGAGGUAACUGUGCCUCUGGCGAGGCCCCAAAGAAGGUAGAAGGCAGUGCCAUAGAGUCUGUAAAUGGUCUGGAACUUGGACCUCUGUGGAAUCCAGUGAGAAGGUAGAAACCAGAGGUACACGGGAUGAGAGAGGCCUGGUUGCAGGUUUUCUGAGGCUCACUGAGAGGCUGCAGGUGGAGACUGAGCUGACCUCGCUCAGAGGAACGGUGGGAGGCCCAGGACACUGAGGCCGCAUCAUCUCCCACAGGCUCCCAAGACAGUAGAAUGUCAGCUUCCGUGGCCUCGCCUCCCUACUCACAGUGAGGAUCUUAAUAAAAAUGCUUGUCACAAACUGCCUCUAGCAGAGAACUUGUCCAAGUGGCUGCAGACGACAAGCUAAAAUCUAGAAGGCUGGGAUGGGGGCCUCACCGAGCCAGAAGCACACUCCAUUCCCCCACAUCCCAGACUUCACAAUGCUUGUCUGAGUCCUCACACCAAGGCUUUCUUUUACAUUCCCUUCUCUGUAGGUUUCCCCUCCAAUAUGAACCCCAGGUGCACUGAGCUCCGGACUGCAGGAGUCAGGAAGGGGGAUACAGGAAACAGGGGAGAGACGAAUCUGUUCACCAGGAAACCUUAUUCUGUGCUCCAGUAGAUCCUUUUCAGUCAGCCUCUCUAGUCUGAGAAUCCAAAAGCCUGGGUUACUUGUGGUGAAGAGGAGAACAAAGUGUUAUUUUAGGAGGCUGAGUGGAAUGAUGCUUUGUGGCAGAGACAUUUUGGAGACUAUGACUUUGGAAACACCAAAUUUAGUAUAUAAAAUUGUCCAUGACAAUAAUAGUAAGGGCUUUCACAGACAUUAUCUCAUGUAAUCCUCACAACAACCCUGUGAGGUAUGGAGGCCAGGAAUUACCUCUGAGGAGGAACCUGAAUUUUGGGGAAGUUAAAUAGCUUGUCCAAAAUCAGGAUCAAGGAGCUCUGCCUCGUAAACCAAUGGUGGUUCCAGUGUAUCUCCCACCACCACCAGUGGGCAAAACUCAUGGUCCAGUUCCAUCAUUCUUUCACUAUGCUUCCUAAUAGAGACUUGCUCUAAGAACUGACAUGCUCAGAGUUUGUGGACCUGGGCCUUCAUGGGAAGGUGAGAUUAACACCUCUAGGUAGCCCAGAGUUGACUAGACAAAAUCUUACCUUUUAAUGCUACACCUUUGUUCCUCUUUUUGACUCUGCACUAAAGUUGAGAGACUAAAGUGAGUGACUACGACUGAAUUUUCACUUUCUUCUCCCUAGGCAAGCCAUAGACAUUUAUUCAUGGAUAAUCUGAUUUUCCAUAUCAAGUUACUAAAGCUCCAUGAUCCAUCUCUGUUAGUCACUUUAAAGUGGAUAAAAAUAUUUUCUAGUUUUCCUUUGAAAUUUUCAUGAAGGGUUUUCUGUAUGUCAUGUUCAAUUGAUUUUUUCAGUCCUUGUCCUUUGCAGAUGAAGGCCACUAGUUUCCAAAACUGCAGGUGCAUAUAUAUUCCUUCACAUGGGACUUGCCCCUGCUCACAGAGGCUCAGCAUCUGAUUCAAGGCUUUCAAAGGCUCAGAGGACUGCUCUCCAUAGCAACCCUAACACAAAGGGAAGCCUUGGCCCGGAGACACCUCAGAUGGAACAAAACAGGUGAACAAAAGUUGAAGGACCCUGUCCUCCUGCAGGAAUCCUGAACUCAAUAGUCCAGUCCAUGGUCAGUGACUCACUCACUGUGGUCAGGAUUCUACCAUGGAUCCCUCUACCACCCCCCAGAAGGUCUGUGAGCUUCAAGUCCUCCCCUGUCCCCCAUAUUCUAAUCUUCCCUGAGAGUCUCCAUCUUAGGUGUUUCUCUGUCCCAACAUAAUUGAUUUGGAAAAGGAGGAAAAGGUUAAUCUCUGCUGGUGGCUGGCCCUAGGAUUCCUUUGUCAAAUUAAUGUGUCUGUUUUCCUAUGUGUUAGUAAACUUCAUUUCUCUAAAUGGUAGAGAAAUGGAAAACUGGGUACCAUGCUAUACAGAAAGUAUGAAACGGAACUAGAACCCCAAGCCUCACUGAGAUGCAUCUGAAAGCAGAGUUUAUCUGAAGUGCACCUCAACCUCAGACAGCUGAGGAGCUGUGGAAUAGUGACAGUGUUCUUGAGGGUGGAGAGGGCCCUUAAAGAGGAAGGUGAACUCACAGUUCCUCUUCACAGCAGCCAGCCUGGUAGCUCCCUCCAGCCUUCCCUGGGUCUUCUAGAUCCUUCCAUCUUUCCAUAUCAUAGAUACACUGUAGCAUUAUUUUCUAUUUAUUCCUCCUCCAACACUCACUGUGUUGUCCAUUACCUCCUUGGUCACCUGAGCUUUAAUCUUACCAAUUAUAUAACCUUUGAAAACCUGAAGUUCUCCCAGGAAUUUUUGCUAAUUCCCAGAGAUUUGCAUUCUCAGGAUUUCCUCUGUUCUCAGGUUCAGCUUCCUACCUCCCAGGCCAGACACAAGACACAACUCCACAUUCACUCAUGAGAGUCCUCUUUCACAUAAAAGCAUUAGUGAGCAAUGUAGUUUUUACAAAAGAUAUUGUGAGGGUGAUGAAUAAGGCUAUGUAUGGGCAGACUUCACUCCUGGCAAACAGCUUUAAGAUUCCUGACUGCUAGACGAAUGGAUGAUGAAGCUGUGGUACAUAUACACCAUGGAAUAUUACUCAGCCAUUAAAAAGAAUUCAUUUGAAUCAGUUCUA